UAGAUAUGAUGAGCUUAACACUUCAGGUCCGUGUUUUUGAAUAGAAUGAUACUGAUGAAGUUCUGAUCUG